rnacentral:rRNA from 1 species
UGGGGGGAGUAUUGCACAAUGGGGGGAACCCUGAUGCAGCGACGCCGCGUGGGUGAAGAAGCGCCUCGGCGCGUAAAGCCCUGUCAGCAGGGAAGAAAAUGACGGUACCUGAAGAAGAAGCCCCGGCUAACUACGUCGCC